AUACGGAGGUUGCAAGCGUUACUCGGAAUCACUGGGCGUAAAGCGCGCGCAGGCGGCCCGAUAAGUUGGAUGUGAAAGCCUACGGCUCAACCGUAGAACUGCAUCCAAAACUGUCAGGCUAGAGUCUGGGAGGGGAAGAUGGAAUUAGUUGUGUAGGGGUAAAAUCCGUAGAGAUAACUAGGAAUACCAAAAGCGAAGGCGAUCUUCUGGAACAGUACUGACGCUGAGGCGCGAAAGCGUGGGGAGCAAACAGGAUUAGAAACCCUAGUAGUCC
rnacentral:rRNA from 1 species